rnacentral:rRNA from 1 species
GUCCAGACUCCUACGGGAGGCAGCAGUGGGGAAUAUUGGGCAAUGGGCGCAAGCCUGACCCAGCAACGCCGCGUGAAGGAAGAAGGCUUUCGGGUUGUAAACUUCUUUUGGCAGGGAAGAGCAGAAGACGGUACCUGUCGAAUAAGCCACGGCUAACUACGUGCCAGCAGCCGCGGUAAUACGUAGGUGGCAAGCGUUGUCCGGAUUUACUGGGUGUAAAGGGCGUGUAGCCGGGCUUACAAGUCAGAUGUGAAAUCUGGGGGCUCAACCCCCGAACUGCAUUUGAAACUGUAGGUCUUGAGUAUCGGAGAGGCAGGCGGAAUUCCUAGUGUAGCGGUGAAAUGCGUAGAUAUUAGGAGGAACACCAGUGGCGAAGGCGGCCUGCUGGACGACAACUGACGGUGAGGCGCGAAAGCGUGGGGAGCAAACAGGAUUAGAUACCCGAGUAA